GGGAGAGGAGGGUUUGGCAGCCGAGGCAGCGGAUGCGCUGGGUGGAGGGAGGGAGGGAGGAUGCUUGCUUGCAUCUUUCGCAGACUAUGAAGGUUUCCAUGGAUGGUGGUUUUGGGGAUUUUUGAUUGAGAUGAAUACUUAUAUUCUAAUGGAAGGGAGGAAUGGAACGACGAUAAAGUGUAACUUGGCUAAACCUUUGAUUGAUGGUCGGAUGCAAUGGAGAAGGUUGUUGAUAUGAUAUUGGAUGGUAGAUGCGAUUUGGUAGUUGUCGCUGACAAUGGAUGACGAAUGAAGAACGGAAGUAAGCCAAAAUCCUAAAAGAAGGGAAAAAGUUGUUGCACCGUGCAUGCGACAACUUUGAAAGUCGAAUUAUGUGGAGUCUCCCUGCCUCAUGGCCGACACUAAGUUUAGUCGACCAUCUAACCCCACCUGAAUCUGUCAUGUGUAUAUACAUGAUGUGUAAAUGAAGAUACUUGAUAAACUACAAUAAAUACUUUAUUUAUCGAGUA